UAGGAUAUAGCUUAGUUGGUAGAGUGCUUGCCUUGCAUGCACAAGGCCCUGGGUUCAAUCCUCAGCACCAUAA
rnacentral:tRNA from 1 species